GACGAACGCUGGCGGCGUGCUUAACACAUGCAAGUCGAACGGAAAGGCCCUGCUUUUGUGGGGUGCUCGAGUGGCGAACGGGUGAGUAACACGUGAGUAACCUGCCCUUGACUUUGGGAUAACUUCAGGAAACUGGGGCUAAUACCGGAUAGGAGCUCCUGCUGCAUGGUGGGGGUUGGAAAGUUUCGGCGGUUGGGGAUGGACUCGCGGCUUAUCAGCUUGUUGGUGGGGUAGUGGCUUACCAAGGGUUUGACGGGUAGCCGGCCUGAGAGGGUGACCGGCCACAUUGGGACUGAGAUACGGCCCAGACUCCUACGGGAGGCAGCAGUGGGGAAUCUUGCACAAUGGGCGGAAGCCUGAUGCAGCAACGCCGCGUGCGGGAUGACGUCCUUCGGGUUGUAAACCGCUUUCGCCUGUGACGAAGCGUGAGUGACGGUAAUGGGUAAAGAAGCACCGGCUAACUACGUG
rnacentral:rRNA from 1 species